rnacentral:ncRNA from 1 species
ACGGAGUAUCCCCGAAAAUCCGGAAUAGAGUAGGGA